rnacentral:misc_RNA from 1 species
GGAAAAUCUGGGACUAAGAAACAGGAAAUUGAGAAAAUUGUUCGAACUGAUGUGAAAGACGACUCCUGUCAAGCUUGUGGAGGAGAUAGUAAUCUUUUGUAUUGUAGAACAUGUAACUAUGCUUACCACCCCAAGUGUUUAGUUCCUCCACUAAAGGCUCCUCUUCCAAGCAGUUGGAGUUGCCCUGAAUGUGUGAGUCCCCUGAAUGAUAUUGACAAAAUAUUGGACUUUGAAAUGCGCCCUACUGUUGCUGAGGAUCAGGAUGCUUCCAAGCUAGGGUCGAAGCAAGUAUUUGUUAAACAGUACCUUGUUAAGUGGAAAGGAUUGUCGUAUCUU